AUUGAACGCUGGCGGCAUGCUUUACACAUGCGAGUCGAACGGCAGCGCAGGCUUCGGCCUGGCGGCGAGUGGCGAACGGGUGAGUAAUACAUCGGAACGUGCCCAGUAGUGGGGGAUAGCUCGGCGAAAGCCGGAUUAAUACCGCAUACGACCUGAGGGUGAAAGCGGGGGAUCUUCGGACCUCGCGCUAUUGGAGCGGCCGAUGGCAGAUUAGCUAGUUGGUGGGGUAAAGGCCUACCAAGGCGACGAUCUGUAGCUGGUCUGAGAGGACGACCAGCCACACUGGGACUGAGACACGGCCCAGACUCCUACGGGAGGCAGCAGUGGGGAAUUUUGGACAAUGGGCGAAAGCCUGAUCCAGCAAUGCCGCGUGUGUGAUGAAGGCCUUCGGGUUGUAAAGCACUUUUGGCGGGAACGAAAAGGACUGUGCCAAUACCACGGUUCGAUGACGGUACCCGCAGAAUAAGCACCGGCUAACUACGUG
rnacentral:rRNA from 1 species